AAUGAUACCCGGUAGUCCACGCCGUAAACGAUGAGUGCUAAGUGUUAGAGGGUUUCCGCCCUUUAGUGCUGCAGCUAACGCAUUAAGCACUCCGCCUGGGGAGUACGGCCGCAAGGCUGAAACUCAAAGGAAUUGACGGGGGCCCGCACAAGCGGUGGAGCAUGUGGUUUAAUUCGAAGCAACGCGAAGAACCUUACCAGGUCUUGACAUCCUCUGACAACCCUAGAGAUAGGGCUUUCCCCUUCGGGGGACAGAGUGACAGGUGGUGCAUGGUUGUCGUCAGCUCGUGUCGUGAGAUGUUGGGUUAAGUCCCGCAACGAGCGCAACCCUUGAUCUUAGUUGCCAGCAUUCAGUUGGGCACUCUAAGGUGACUGCCGGUGACAAACCGGAGGAAGGUGGGGAUGACGUCAAAUCAUCAUGCCCCUUAUGACCUGGGCUACACACGUGCUACAAUGGAUGGUACAAAGGGCUGCAAACCUGCGAAGGUAAGCGAAUCCCAUAAAGCCAUUCUCAGUUCGGAUUGCAGG
rnacentral:rRNA from 1 species